rnacentral:rRNA from 1 species
CAGUCGCCGCGGGAAAACGGAGGGUGCUAGCGUUGUUCGGAAUCACUGGGCGUAAAGGGCGCGUAGGCGGCCUGUUAAGUCGGAUGUGAAAGCCCGGGGCUCAACCCCGGAACUGCAUCCGAGACUGGCAGGCUUGAGACCGGGAGAGGAGGGUGGAAUAUCCAGUGUAGAGGUGAAAUUCGUAGAUAUUGGAUGGAACACCGGUGGCGAAAGCGGCUCUCUGGCCCGGAUCUGACGCUGAGGCGCGAAAGCGUGGGGAGCAAACAGGAUUAGAUACCCCUGUAGUCCCUGUCUCUUAUAA